AUUGAACGCUGGCGGCAGGCCUAACACAUGCAAGUCGAGCGGAUGAAGGGAGCUUGCUCCUGGAUUCAGCGGCGGACGGGUGAGUAAUGCCUAGGAAUCUGCCUGGUAGUGGGGGAUAACGUCCGGAAACGGGCGCUAAUACCGCAUACAUCCUGAGGGAGAAAGUGGGGGAUCUUCGGACCUCACGCUAUCAGAUGAGCCAAGGUCGGAUUAGCUAGUUGGUGGGGUAAAGGCCUACCAAGGCGACGAUCCGUAACUGGUCUGAGAGGAUGAUCAGUCACACUGGAACUGAGACACGGUCCAGACUCCUACGGGAGGCAGCAGUGGGGAAUAUUGGACAAAGGGCGAAAGCCUGAUCCAGCCAUGCCGCGUGUGUGAAGAAGGUCUUCGGAUUGUAAAGCACUUUAAGUUGGGAGGAAGGGCAGUAAGUUAAUACCUUGCUGUUUUGACGUUACCAACAGAAUAAGCACCGGCUAACUUCGUG
rnacentral:rRNA from 1 species